rnacentral:rRNA from 1 species
GUUGCAGGGUAUAGACCCGAAACCCGGUGAUCUAGCCAUGGGCAGGUUGAAGGUUGGGUAACACUAACUGGAGGACCGAACCGACUAAUGUUGAAAAAUUAGCGGAUGACCUGUGGCUGGGGGUGAAAGGCCAAUCAAACCGGGAGAUAGCUGGUUCUCCCCGAAAGCUAUUUAGGUAGCGCCUCGUGAAUUCAUCUCCGGGGGUAGAGCACUGUUUCGGCUAGGGGGCCAUCCCGGCUUACCAACCCGAUGCAAACUGCGAAUACCGGAGAAUGUUAUCACGGGAGACACACGGCGGGUGCUAACGUCCGUCGUGAAGAGGGAAACAACCCAGACCGCCAGCUAAGGUCCCAAAGUCAUGGUUAAGUGGGAAACGAUGUGGGAAGGCCCAGACAGCCAGGAUGUUGGCUUAGAAGCAGCCAUCAUUUAAAGAAAGCGUAAUAGCUCACUGGUCGAGUCGGCCUGCGCGGAAGAUGUAACGGGGCUAAACCAUGCACCGAAGCUGCGGCAGCGACGCUGAUGCGUUGUUGGGUAGGGGAGCGUUCUGUAAGCCUGUGAAGGUGGCCUGUGAGGGUUGCUGGAGGUAUCAGAAGUGCGAAUGCUGACAUAAGUAACGAUAAAGCGGGUGAAAAGCCCGCUCGCCGGAAGACCAAGGGUUCCUGUCCAACGUUAAUCGGGGCAGGGUGAGUCGACCCCUAAGGCGAGGCCGAAAGGCGUAGUCGAUGGGAAACGGGUUAAUAUUCCCGUACUUGGUGUUACUGCGAAGGGGGGACGGAGAAGGCUAUGUUGGCCGGGCGACGGUUGUCCCGGUUUAAGCGUGUAGGUGUGUGUUCCAGGUAAAUCCGGUUCACUUUAACACUGAGGCGUGAUGACGAGGCACUACGGUGCUGAAGCAACAAAUGCCCUGCUUCCAGGAAAAGCCUCUAAGCAUCAGGUAACAUCAAAUCGUACCCCAAACCGACACAGGUGGUCAGGUAGAGAAUACCAAGGCGCUUGAGAGAACUCGGGUGAAGGAACUAGGCAAAAUGGUGCCGUAACUUCGGGAGAAGGCACGCUGACAUGUAGGUGAAGUGAUUUACUCACGGAGCUGAAGUCAGUCGAAGAUACCAGCUGGCUGCAACUGUUUAUUAAAAACACAGCACUGUGCAAACACGAAAGUGGACGUAUACGGUGUGACGCCUGCCCGGUGCCGGAAGGUUAAUUGAUGGGGUCAGCGCAAGCGAAGCUCCUGAUCGAAGCCCCGGUAAACGGCGGCCGUAACUAUAACGGUCCUAAGGUAGCGAAAUUCCUUGUCGGGUAAGUUCCGACCUGCACGAAUGGCGUAAUGAUGGCCAGGCUGUCUCCACCCGAGACUCAGUGAAAUUGAACUCGCUGUGAAGAUGCAGUGUACCCGCGGCAAGACGGAAAGACCCCGUGAACCUUUACUAUAGCUUGACACUGAACAUUGAGCCUUGAUGUGUAGGAUAGGUGGGAGGCUUUGAAGUGUGGACGCCAGUCUGC